UACGAAGGGGGCUAGCGUUGCUCGGAUUGACUGGGCGUAAAGGGCGCGUAGGCGGUUCGUACAGUCAGACGUGAAAUUCCUGGGCUCAACCUGGGGCUGCGUUUGAUACGUGCGGACUUGAGUGCGGAAGAGGGUCGUGGAAUUCCCAGUGUAGAGGUGAAAUUCGUAGAUAUUGGGAAGAACACCGGUGGCGAAGGCGGCGACCUGGUCCGAUACUGACGCUGAGGCGCGAAAGCGUGGGGGAGCAAACAGG
rnacentral:rRNA from 1 species